GAGUCAGCAAGACAAGCUAGACUCCUGCGUUAUAGCUACUCUGAAGAUCGUGAUCUCUAUGUCACUGGUGACUUGUGCUCUACCUACAAAAUACUGGUGUCAAAUUUCUACUUAUUAUGUGCAUGUCUUUAUACAAUUGCGAACAUCUUAUUUUUUUUUUAUCAUUUAGUUGUCGCAUUCUAAUCAUCAUCUAUAAUCUUGGCUUUUAGGAAUUUAGAAGUUCCUAUGACUUGAGCUGCCUCAGACAAUAUUGUUUAAUAUAAAAGUCUUUCAAAGACUGAAAAUCUUGGGCACUAACUCAAUGGUACAGGGAUGCUGCAUGUUGUGUCCUGCUGAAAUGAAGGAAAAAUUGGAAGACAGGUUAUGAUUGCCAUCGUACUUGAACAAGUCCCAACGGCCUGAAAGUAACUUUUUCUUUUGCAAUUUUAAACAGGCAAAAGGAGGCUACCCACUUGUGAAAGACAACAAAAAGGAAGGGUGGGUGGUUUGUGAGUGUGAAUAUGAAUAUGAGCAUGAUGUGAAAGAGUCACCAAGCCCUGUGCCUAAUGCUCCUCCACCAAGAAAGGCACCCAAGGCUGUGGAUGAAGAUCUCUACAACAUCUUUCCUGACCUUCUCUAUGCCAAUUCCAAAAGGCUUGGAAGAAGCCACUGGCUUGGUCAUCAUAUUUAUUAUCAGUAGAACAGGAGAUAAAGCAAAAGUGUCAGAACUCGUGAAGGAGGUGGCAAAAUUUGAUGACUUCAUGCUCUUGGAUAUCAAAGAGGAGUGCAGUUGUCCUUCUUUAAAGCCGCCUAUGCACUUUAUGAUUCUGAAUUCUAUGUCAAAGCUGAUGCCGACAUAUUUUUGAGGCCAGGGUUUUGGAUCUCGAUGUGCAAGACAAGGGCGUCUCCUUCAACUUGCUUAUGUUCAACUCGUAUAUUGAAUGUUUACAUAAUGCGCCAGUCAAAAGAAACUCUCAAAGGGAUGAGUCUAUCUUCUUAUUCUAUGCUUGAACAUUUACAGGAAGGGAAGGAGUUUGUGUUUAAACUCAAUCUGGGUAACCACAAAAUGUGUGGACUUAUUCGAAAUUAUGUUGUUGCCUUCACUUUUACGUCAGAUUUUAACUUGAAAAAACCCCGAAGAAAGUUCUGUCUUUACAUGGAGAUGUAUU